UACAGAGGGGGCAAGCGUUGUUCGGAAUUACUGGGCGUAAAGGGCGCGUAGGCGGCCCGCUAAGUCGAACGUGAAAUCCCCGGGCUCAACCCGGGAACUGCGUCCGAUACUGGCAGGCUUGAAUCCGGGAGAGGGAUGCGGAAUUCCAGGUGUAGCGGUGAAAUGCGUAGAUAUCAUUUGGAACGCCAAUGGUGAAAACAGGUAGCUGGGGAUGUGCUGACGCUGAGACACGAAAGCCAGGGGAGCAAACGGG
rnacentral:rRNA from 1 species